UAGUGGCGCACGGGUGCGUAACGCGUGGGAAUCUGCCCUUGGGUUCGGAAUAACAGUUGGAAACGACUGCUAAUACCGGAUGAUGUCGUAAGUCCAAAGAUUUAUCGCCCAAGGAUGAGCCCGCGUAGGAUUAGCUAGUUGGUGAGGUAAAAGCUCACCAAGGCGACGAUCCUUAGCUGGUCUGAGAGGAUGAUCAGCCACACUGGGACUGAGACACGGCCCAGACUCCUACGGGAGGCAGCAGUAGGGAAUAUUGGACAAUGGGCGAAAGCCUGAUCCAGCAAUGCCGCGUGAGUGAUGAAGGCCUUAGGGUUGUAAAGCUCUUUUACCGGAGAUGACAAUGACAGUACCGGGAGAAUAAGCCCCGGCUAACUCCGUGCCAGCAGCCGCGGUAAU
rnacentral:rRNA from 1 species